CGAAGGCUUCUUUGCUUUUGUGAGCGUUCGCAAUAGCGAAUCCUGGAUCACAAACGCAACAUCUGCAACUUGUUUUCAGCUGUGUAAUUUAGGUUUUUUUCUUUUUGUUGAUAUUUUUGAAUCCUAGGUCCGAGAGUGGGGCAUUUUGAGAGAGAAAUUCCAUUUACAAUCGUUGGGUAAGUACCUUUGUUCAAUUUCUAUGUAUAUUUCAUGAUUAUAUUUGAGUUUUAACAUCAAAAUAGAGAGAAUCAAAGUGAAAAAUUGGGAAAUUUGUAAAAUCUUUCAAAAAUAAAAAAUGAGGAUUGCUGUUCGUUAUCAAAAUUUGAUAAUUUUGGUAUGGUUGGGCUCGUAUCAGAAUGGGUGUUCGGAUUUUGUAAAUUUUUGUCGGGUUCCGAGGUGCGGGCCAUGGGUUUACUUUCGGGUUGACUUUUUAGUUUUUAAAUUAAAAAAAGAAGUUUUAUUAUAUAGAAUUAAUACCUAUGAGUUUUAAUUAUGUUAUGAAAUUAUUUUGGUUAGAUUUGAGCCGCCCGGAGGUCGUUUCACUCGAGAAGGCGAGCAUCGGCCUAACUUCAUUAUGGUAAGUAUCUUGCCGAACCUUAUAUGGUGGAAUUACCCCUUAGGCAUUGAGUCACUUGUGCAAUUUGUGUAAUGUGAAAGCCUUGUACGUAAGGUGACGAGUACAUAUUCGGACUUAUAUGUGGAAAUUCUAUCAGUUUAAACUCUUAGACAUCUUUUAUGUAUUUAAUUGGAAAUUGUUGGCACAUGUUAUGUUCUUCAUUCUCCAUGUUCACCAUUUCAUGACUUAUUGGAAAUUAUUGUUAUAGGUCUCUUUACUUGCCGAGUUGUUUAAUAUGUCUAUUUGGAGUUGUUACCAUUUUAACCUCUAUGUGAUUUCUCUAUUAUCGAGUUACCAUUUUAUGGAGAUACUUUCAUUAUUGAGUUUAUCUAAAAUGAUUAAUUGAAAUUGAAUUAAUCAAGAGGCAUUAAUUUAUUUACUUGAAGUUGUGUUUAAAAGAUGUGUUGUUCCUUGCUGAUUUACUUUUCCGUUCUUGUUGAUGUUAUUGAAAUUUUAUACAUGUUGUAUUGAGUCGUGAGGUAUCUGUUGUGAAAUUAUUGAUAUCAUUGAACCUUUGAAAAGGUUGUGGCCUACCAAAAUUUGUGAUACGAUUUGAUUACGUUGUGAAUUGUUGUUAUGUGGAGUAUAAGGGUGGCAUUUCAGUGUUGAUAUUAUAUGGGGCAUAAGGGUGGCAUUUCAUUGUUGCUGAUUGUUCUGUGUUAUAUGGGUGGCUAUUGCAUUAUUGUUAGGGAAGAGAGAUAUGGAAGGAUAUUACACGGGGUGAUACAGGUGGCUAUAGGAUAUGGAUGACUAAUGAUAUUGUCAGGGCAGAUAGAUAAGGAGGGCUACUAAACGGUGAGAUAUGGGCGUCUAUAGGAGAGAUAAGGGUGCCAAAUGUCAGGGGUGAUGUGUGAUGGUUCAGAGAUAUUGUGCUGGUAUGAUUUUCCUUGUGUUUUGUUAUACACAUUGCAUGGCUUAUCUUAUUUUUUCGGUGAGCUAUUCGAUGUCCUUGAUAUUACUUGUUGAUUUGGGCUAUAAUAGUACACUUGCACAAGCAUACACUGUAACAUACUACUUAUACUACCUCAUGAGUACAAAACUUGACAUUUAUUGAUUAUGUCCAUGUUUCUGGUAUUAUCCGUUUCAUAUUGCUAUUGAGCUUGUGAUCAUGCCCGACGGAUUGUGAUUUUGGCACAUGAAUUAUCAGUGCAGAUUGUGAUUUGAGAUGUGGGAACGAGGUGCCGUGAGUAUAUGAUGAUUAUGUUAUUGGCACGUGAGUUAUCCGUGCAACACGUGAGUUGUCUGUGCGAAUCCAUAUAUUAAUAUUGUUGGCAUGUCAGUUAUCUGUGCAGUUAUGAUUCGAGAUGUGGCACGAGGUGCCGUAAGUAUAUGAUGAUGGAUUGAGAUCCGUGAUUUGUGAAUAUGGGAUGAGGUACCUUAGAGUGACUUUGUUGUGAAAACUCGUGAUAAAAAGACUUGAUUGAUUGGCUAUCCUUGUGUUCCUUAUUUGGUUUGAACGAUAAUUUACAGUGUUCUUAAUGAUUACUGCCUAUAUGCACAUGUUGACUUUGUUGCCAUUUCCUGAUUUCUACUUUCCAUUAUUACAUUUAUACUGCUAUAUUGCACAGGUUAUUUUGACUAGUGAGUGUCUUAAUUGUACCUUGUCACUACUCCACCGAGAUUAGUCUUGAUACUUACUGGGUACCGACCAUGGUGUACUCAUACUACUUACUGAGUACCGAUCAUGGUAUACUCAUACUACACUUCUGCAUAUUUUUGUGCAGAGCCAGGUAUUGGAGAUAUCGAACUCGGGCAGAGUUAGCUUGUUUUCGCAAAGAUUGAAGGUAGAGCGCUUGAUUGUUGCAGUCCUUUAAGUCUUUUUCUUAUAUUGUACUGUCAGUUAUCAUUUGAACAGUAUUGUAUUUUGAUCUUUGAGAUCAUUUCUGGUAUUCAAUUAGAGUUUGUUACUCUGUAUUACUAGCCUUGGAAGGCUGUAUGAAUAUUUUUGCUUUUAGUUUCAGUAUUUAUAUUAUCAUUGUCAAAAAAAU
rnacentral:lncRNA from 1 species